rnacentral:rRNA from 1 species
AUAAACGCUGGCGGCGUGCUUAACCCAUGCAAGUCGAACGAAGUUUUUCUUUCGGGAGGAACUUAGUGGCGGACGGGUGAGUAACGCGUGGGUAACCUGCCCUGUACAGGGGGACAACAGCUGGAAACGGCUGCUAAUACCGCAUAAGCCCUUAGCACUGCAUGGUGCAUAGGGAAAAGGAGCAAUCCGGUACAGGAUGGACCCGCGUCUGAUUAGCCAGUUGGCAGGGUAACGGCCUACCAAAGCGACGAUCAGUAGCCGAUCUGAGAGGAUGUACGGCCACAUUGGGACUGAGACACGGCCCAGACUCCUACGGGAGGCAGCAGUGGGGAAUAUUGCACAAUGGAGGAAACUCUGAUGCAGCGACGCCGCGUGAGUGAAGAAGUAUUUCGGUAUGUAAAGCUCUAUCAGCAGGAAAGAAAAUGACGGUACCUGACUAAGAAGCACCGGCUAAAUACGUG